rfam:Ornithorhynchus anatinus chromosome 6, whole genome shotgun sequence.
AACAGCGUGGCUCAGUGGAAAGAGCCUGGGCUUUGGAAUCAGAGGUCAUGGGUUCGACUCCCAGCUCUGCCA